GCAUAACGCGAAGAACCUUACCAAGUCUUGACAUCCCAAUGACCAGCAGAGUAACGUCUGCCUCCCUUCGGGGCAUUGGUGACAGGUGGUGCAUGGUUGUCGUCAGCUCGUGUCGUGAGAUGUUGGGCUAAGUCCCGUAACGAGCGCAACCCUUGUCCUUAGUUACCAGCACGUUAUGGUGGGCACUCUAAGGAGACUGCCGGUGACAAACCGGAGGAAGGUGGGGAUGACGUCAAGUCCGUAUGGCCCUUACGCCUAGGGCUGCACACGUACUACAAUGCCCAGUACAAUGUGAACCGAGACCGCGAGGUGGAGGAAAUCAAUAAAACUGGGCCCAGUUCAGAUUGUAGGCUGCAACUCGCCUACAUGAAGUCGGAAUCGCUAGUAAUGGCGCAUCAGCAACGGCGCCGUGAAUACGUUCCCGGGUCUGUACACACCG
rnacentral:rRNA from 1 species